rnacentral:rRNA from 1 species
CAGUAGCCGCGGGAAAACGAAGGGGGCUAGCGUUGUUCGGAUUUACUGGGCGUAAAGCGCACGUAGGCGGACUUUUAAGUCAGGGGUGAAAUCCCGGGGCUCAACCCCGGAACUGCCUUUGAUACUGGGAGUCUUGAGUUCGAGAGAGGUGAGUGGAAUUGCGAGUGUAGAGGUGAAAUUCGUAGAUAUUCGCAGGAACACCAGUGGCGAAGGCGGCUCACUGGCUCGAUACCGACGCUGAGGUGCGAAAGCGUGGGGAGCAAACAGGAUUAGAUACCCCAGUAGUCCCUGUCUCUUAUAA